rnacentral:tRNA from 1 species
GGGCGAUUAGCUCAGUUGGCUAGAGCGCCUCGUUUACACCGAGGAAGUCGCUGGUUCGAGUCCGGCAUCGCUCA